GACGAACGCUGGCGGCGUGCCUCAUACAUGCAAGUCGAGCGAAGCGGCGGAUGGGUGAGUAACGCGUGGGUACCCUGCACUUUAGUCUUGGAUACCCUUUGGCAACAGAUGCUACUACCGGAUACUAAAGGAUGGCCCUGCGAUGCAUUAGCUAGUUGGUAAGGUAAAGGCUUACCAAGGCGAUGAUGCAUAGCCGAGUGGAGAGACGGAUCGGCCACAUUGGGACUGAGACACGGCCCAAACGCCUACGGGAGGCAGCAGUAGGGAAUCUUCCACAAUGGACGAAAGGCUGAUGGAGCAACGCCGCGUGAGUGAAGAAGGUUUUCGGAUCGGAAAGCUCGGUUGUUGGUGAAGCGGUAAUCAACCAGAAAGUCACGGCUAACUACGUGCCAGCAGCCGCGGUAAUUC
rnacentral:rRNA from 1 species